GAGCCUAUAGCCUAGUGGUCAUGGCAUCUGCCCGGUAAGCGGAAGGUCGUGGGUUCGAUUCCCAUCCCUUGGCCUUGUAUACA